rnacentral:misc_RNA from 1 species
AAGUCGUAACAAGGUUUCCGUAGGUGAACCUGCGGAAGGAUCAUUAUCAAAAGUCAAGUCGGGGGCUGCAAAGCCUUCGUCUACACCCAUGUCUUUUGCGUACUUCUUGUUUCCUCGGUGGCGCAAGCCGCCGAUUGGACAAACCAAAACCUUUUUUGUAAUUGCAAUCAGCGUCUGAAAAUAAUCUAAUUAUUUACAACUUUCAACAACGGAUCUCUUGGUUCUG